rnacentral:rRNA from 1 species
CGAAAAGCUUCGGGGAGUCGGCAAACAGACUUUGAUCCGGAGAUGUCUGAAUGGGGGAACCCAGCCAUCAUAAGAUGGUUACCUUACACUGAAUACAUAGGUGUAUGGAGCGAACCAGGGGAACUGAAACAUCUAAGUACCCUGAGGAAAAGAAAUCAACCGAGAUUCCCUUAGUAGUGGCGAGCGAACGGGGACUAGCCCUUAAGUGGCUUUGAGAUUAGCGGAACGCUCUGGAAAGUGCGGCCAUAGUGGGUGAUAGCCCUGUACGCGAAAAUCUCUUAGUCAUGAAAUCGAGUAGGACGGAGCACGAGAAACUUU